ACGAAGGUGGCAAGCGUUGUUCGGAUUUACUGGGCGUACAGGGAGCGUAGGCGGUUCGGUAAGCCCUCUGUGAAAUCUCCAGGCUUAACCUGGAACAGUCGGAGGGGACUGCUGGGCUAGAGGACGGGAGAGGAGCGCGGAAUUCCCGGUGUAGCGGUGAAAUGCGUAGAUAUUGGGAGGAACACCAGUGGCGAAGGCGGCUCACUGGACUGGUACUGACGCUGAGGCGCGAAAGCUAGGGGAGCAAACAGGA
rnacentral:rRNA from 1 species